rnacentral:tRNA from 1 species
AGAGAGUUAUUCGUUUAACUUCUCCAAAGCUAACAAAGUUAGCAAACAAUUGGGUAAAUAUCCAUAAUAUUAUGUUCGGUUUAUAAAGAUUAUAAGAGAUAAUAAUGGGCCUAUAGCUCAGCUGGCUAGAGCGCUCGACUGAUAAUCGUGAGGUCCCAGGUUCAAGUCCUGGUAGGCCCACCAUUAUAAUCUUUACUUUUAAUCUUAAUAUAUGAAUGGGGAUAUAGCUCAGCUGGGAGAGCGCCUGCCUUGCACGCAGGAGGUCAGCGGUUCGAUCCCGCUUAUCUCCACCAUUUAUUUUAAAAAUCAAAUAUAAGUUCAAAUGUUAAAAGUGUUGAAUUUAUAUUUGGUUUUUAUAACCAAAAUGAUAUUUAAAAAUUUAAUGUUAAAGUCUUUAAUUUUUUCGUUUAAAUCAAUAUCUUUCGUAUGAAGAUGAUUUAAAAAAACAAAAAAAUUUCAUAUCUAAACAACUAGAAAUAGUAUAGAUAGACACAACUGUUUUAUUAAAUGUAUAUUUAAUAAGAUAGUAGCCAAGGAAUAAUUAUUCAAAAAAGCGGUUAAUCGCAAGAUUAACUUUUUAAUAAGCUAUUAAGGGCUAAUGGUGGAUGCCUUGGC